GCCUACAUAGAUCAGUGCUAGAUCAUCUCUCCAUGAUUGGCGCGUACAUUCAUUCCGAUACUGAGAAGGCGGAGGUUCGAAUCCUCCUGCGGGCA